rnacentral:misc_RNA from 1 species
UUUCCGUAGGUGAACCUGCGGAAGGAUCAUUAUUGUAUAACCGAGGUGCGAGGGCUGUCGCUGACCCGAAAGGUCGUGCACGCCCGAGUGCCCUCACACACAUCCAUCUCACCCCUAUGUGCACCACCGCGUGGGUCACCCUUUGGCUUGUUCGGAGGGGGGCUUACGUUUUCACACAAACUUUGUAUGUAGUGUAGAAUGUAUUUUUUGUUUUUGCGAUCACGCAAUCAAUACAACUUUCAACAACGGAUCUCUUGGCUCUC